CACACCUAAAGAUUUCGUGAAAGUUUCACCGUGUUUUGAAAGCGCCAACCACUACUGCACCGUAUCCAAUCCAUCAGACACGGACACCGGCGUAGAUCAAACCAACAGACGACUGUCAUCAGUUUGUGAUCUCUCUUUGAGUCUUCUUGUUUUCCUCCUGGAUGCCACAUGACAGUCUGAUGUCAGAGACGCCUCUCCAGACCGACUUUCCAUCACAGAAGGGGCUUUUUCCCCAAACGAGUCACCUUUCCCCAGGGAACGCAGGUAGACGGGCUCCUGACUUGGACAUUCCUCACGGGUCAAUGUCACCUGAGCGAAGACAGCAUUUACAGAGAUGAGGAAGAUUUCCUACCUCCUCAAGGACGUCAGCAAGCUUACUCAGUAUUUCCUCUGGAAGACUUCGGAAUGUCGGGACGCUGCAAGUGAGACACACUUUGCAUUAUUAU